GACGAACGCUGGCGGCGUGCUUAACACAUGCAAGUCGAACGGAAAGGCCCUGCUUUUGUGGGGUGCUCGAGUGGCGAACGGGUGAGUAACACGUGAGUAACCUGCCCUUGACUUUGGGAUAACUUCAGGAAACUGGGGCUAAUACCGGAUAGGAGCUCCUGCUGCAUGGUGGGGGUUGGAAAGUUUCGGCGGUUGGGGAUGGUCUCGCGGCUUAUCAGCUUGUUGGUGGGGUAGUGGCUUACCAAGGCUUUGACGGGUAGCCGGCCUGAGAGGGUGACCGGCCACAUUGGGACUGAGAUACGGCCCAGACUGCAACGGGAGGAAGCAGUGGGGAAUAUUGCAAAAUGGGCGGAAGCCUGAUGCAGCAACGCCGCGUGCGGGAUGACGGCCUUCGGGUUGUAAACCGCUUUCGCCUGUGACGAAGCGUGAGUGACGGUAAUGGGUAAAGAAGCACCGGCUAACUACGUG
rnacentral:rRNA from 1 species